GACACCUGGGAGCAGGAGCCAAGGAAGCAGAGCAGAAGCUAAGCAAACGCUAGGCAGCAGGAGCUAGGGGAAGAGUUGGAGGCUGGACAGGCGGACGGAUCCACAGCUGUAGCAUGAAGCUGCUGCCCAGCUGGAGAGCCCGGCUGCCUCAGGGCCUGUGGAGCAGGGCCUGGCCAUGGGCGCAACAACCCAGAAGAACUGCUCACAGCUGUGCCCCAAAGAUGAGGGCCCAGGAGAACCUGGAGGGCCGGACACAGCAUGAGUCCCUGGGCUCUGCAGGGAACUCCGAGAGGGAUCCCAUGGAGUCCCUGCCCAGAGAGCCCAAGUUUGACAUGUUGUACAAGAUCGAGGAUGUGCCACCCUGGUACCUGUGUAUUCUGCUGGGCUUCCAGCAUUACUUGACAUGCUUCAGUGGCACCAUUGCUGUGCCCUUCCUCCUGGCUGAGGCGCUGUGUGUGGGCCGGGACCAGCACAUGGUCAGCCAGCUCAUCGGGACGAUCUUCACCUGCGUGGGCAUCACCACCCUCAUCCAGACCACACUGGGAAUCCGGCUGCCGUUGUUCCAGGCCAGCGCCUUUGCAUUUCUGGUCCCAGCCAAAGCCAUCCUGGCCCUGGAGAGAUGGAAAUGCCCCCCGGAAGAGGAUAUCUACGGUAACUGGAGUCUUCCCCUGAAUACCUCUCAUAUCUGGCACCCACGGAUACGAGAGGUCCAGGGUGCAAUCAUAGUGUCCAGCAUGGUGGAGGUGGUGAUCGGGCUGAUGGGGCUGCCUGGGGCCCUGCUCAGCUACAUAGGACCUCUCACGGUCACCCCCACUGUCUCCCUCAUUGGCCUGUCUGUCUUCCAAGCUGCUGGUGACCGAGCUGGUUCCCACUGGGGCAUCUCAGCUUGUUCCAUUCUCCUGAUCAUCCUCUUCUCCCAGUACCUGCGUAACCUCACCUUCCUGCUGCCUAUCUACCGCUGGGGCAAGGGCCUGACUCUCUUCCGCAUCCAGAUCUUCAAGAUGUUUCCAAUUGUGCUGGCCAUCAUGACCGUGUGGCUGCUCUGCUACAUCCUGACCCUGACAAACGUGCUGCCCUCAGACCCCACCGCUUACGGCUUCCAGGCACGGACAGAUGCACGAGGGGACAUCAUGGCUAUUGCACCCUGGAUCCGCAUUCCCUACCCCUGUCAGUGGGGCCUGCCCACAGUGACUGCGGCUGCUGUCCUGGGAAUGUUCAGUGCCACACUGGCAGGCAUCAUCGAGUCCAUCGGAGAUUACUAUGCUUGUGCCCGCCUGGCGGGUGCCCCACCCCCUCCUGUACAUGCCAUCAACAGGGGUAUCUUCACUGAAGGCAUCUGCUGCAUUAUCGCAGGGCUGCUGGGCACAGGCAAUGGGUCCACAUCGUCCAGCCCCAACAUUGGUGUUCUGGGGAUUACCAAGGUAGGCAGCCGGCGUGUGGUGCAGUACGGUGCGGGAAUCAUGCUCGUCCUGGGCACAGUUGGCAAGUUCACCGCCCUUUUUGCUUCACUCCCUGACCCCAUACUGGGGGGUAUGUUCUGCACCCUUUUUGUUUGUGGACAUGAACUCCUCCCGCAACCUGUUCGUGCUCGGAUUUUCUAUGUUCUUUGGGCUCACGCUGCCCAAUUACCUGGAGUCCAACCCUGGCACCAUAAACACAGAAGUCAACAAGCUGCACAACUGGGAGCAAAGUCCCUGAGCUCUGUCUCCAGAAGCCAAGAUGCCCACUGGCCCUUGGCCUAUUCCACAGGCAUUCCUGAAGUGGACCAGAUUCUGACUGUGCUGCUGACCACAGAGAUGUUCGUGGGUGGGUGCCUCGCUUUCAUACUGGACAACACAGUGCCAGGGAGCCCAGAAGAACGAGGUCUGAUACAAUGGAAAGCUGGGGCCCAUGCCAACAGUGAGAUGUCCACCAGCCUCAAGAGCUAUGACUUCCCCAUUGGGAUGAACAUUGUAAAAAGAAUUGCCUUUCUGAAAUACAUUCCUAUCUGCCCAGUCUUCAAAGGAUUUUCUUCAAGGUCGAAAACCCAGCCUCCAGUUCCAGAAGACACUCCAGAAAAUAUACAAACUGGAUCUGCAUGCACCAAAGUCUGAAAAAUUAUUCCUAGUAAAGAUACACGCAUAAGGACACACCUGACAUUCUGGAAUUGAAUAAAGCCUGCUCUCAGCAAAUCUUGCCAGCAGGGUUGUCCUGAAGUACUGAGCCCACACUAAAGAAGCAAGGUUUGUAACAGAAAAAGAAAACUACAUGGGGAAUCAGAAGACCAAAGAUGGAAUUUCGUCACUGUUCCUAAUUAGCUUCCUAUGAAAGGCUGGAUAAAUCACUUCCUCUGGGACUCUUAAGAAUGGGCCAAAAAGUCUCUAAGAGCCACCAUUCCAUACCUCUAAAUCUUUAUUUUCCUAGACAGACAUGUCAGUAUAUUGAGAAUAGCUGGAAAUUUGCCUCCACCACAGUUGACAAAAGAUGAAAAGAAAUCAAGAUGUAUUCCAGGCCCUGAAAUGUAGAAAUGCUGAGGCCUUUAGAGGGAAUCUGAACCCCCUACAUCACUUACUUCAAGACCAAAGUAUAUUAAAUAACAUGUUGGAGCAAUAAUUUAAUUUUAGUUUCAUAAUUAUACACAACCAUUUUCUUGGAUAGGACAUACACAGUCUCACUUCUCUCAAGUGAAUUAUUUCUAAACUUUAAAGUGUGAGGUUUAAAUAAAAAAGCAGUAUUCUUCAA